UGUUUUUUAAAGCUUGGAUUGUCCUUGCCUAUGAAUAGAUGCAAAGCCUAUUGAUUCAUGAAUGCCUUUGUGGCUCACAUUAUCUGGAAUCAGGGAAAGUGGUGGAACUUCAAAAUGCAAUUCUAAAAUAGAUAAACUGGCCAGGGUUUAAGCAGAAACUGGACUAGAGUGGCCAGAUGCCCUUCCCAUAGCUCUUAGGAGCAUGACAUGCACCAGAAAGUGAAAACGGUGAUUCCGCAGGUGAUCCAUCAUCUGUGGGAGGCCUGUACAAUUUCUGGUUACUCCCCCAAGGCCUCUCCCUGGCAGAGCAUUUAUGGGCCAGAUGAUGUUGUGUGGAUUAUUUUACAGCACUAAUGAUGCAUAACCAAGUAUUCUAUUCCAGGUACAACCUACCAACUGAUCUCUACAGACAGAGUAAUGCCAAAGCUGUUGACUAAGAUUACCUAAGGUUUAUCAAAGGAAGACGUCACUGGAACUUCAUUGGAAAGAACCUUAUCAAGCCUUGCUAAGUGUUCAAAUGGAUGACAGGUGCAGAGGCUUUCAGUCUUAGAUCCUGUGUUCUUACUGUAAGAAAACGUACCCCACCCAUUUGACAAUUUCUUGCUGCGGUCUCUAUUUUUCUUUUUCUCUUAAACACAGGGACCAAUGCCUUGCUUGUCAGUUGAGAUCCAGGGAGGUAUGACAGCUUCCAGGAAAUUCCUGUUUCUGAAAAGAAACCUAGUUUAGAAUGAAAUUGGGAGACAGCAGAGGGAACUUCCAAGCCCCACCCCUCCUUGUCAAUUGCAGACCCAACAGGUGGAUACUUCUUUACUAUUCCCGCAGGAGGACUAAAGUUCCACCCACCUACACCACCCCGCCCACAACCGCACAGCCAAUGAGAGACAGUCACAACUCAGCCAAUGAAAAGCCACUAUAUUUCGAACUCCUCGUUUACGCCAAUGGACUUUUUGCUUAUAAUAGCCUGCUCGGCACUCUCCCCCCUUUCCUCAAUAAAAGUCCAAGUGUUCUCUGGAAAGGCGGUAUAUACAAAAUGACCGUAAAAGGUGGGAUGCUGAAGAAAAAGGCUCACAAGUGCGGCUUGACGGGAAAUGGUUUAUUAAAGGGACUUACGGACAGAAGUGUGUCUUGCGGAGGGGCAAAACUAGUAGAUCUCUGCAGUCCCAUCUCCGCACCCUUUCAGAGCAAAAUUUGCUUGAAACUUGCUGGCUACUCAGUUCCUCUGCAGCGCAGAUCCACUUCAGGCUGGACCCUGUCAUCUCAACAGCAUUCACUAGAGCCCUGAUUCAUGCCAGGCAUUAAUGACAGAUGGGAUGGAGAGACAAAGUCUCUGUCACUAAAGAGAUCACCUGACUAUAAACAAAUGAUUAUCAAAGAGAUGGUGGGUGUAUGGCUAAGGAACAUUUUGUCCCAUGAGAUAUGAAGGGAGAGUAGCUGCUUGGAAGAUGUGGGCCCAGGACUAGAAAACAUUAUCCAUACUGUUUGGCACAAGGUUGGGAUCAAAAGGUGAACUGUUACAGCUAACGCUCAUAUUACCUACAAGUUGAACAAGGACUACAAAGGCUCAUGAGACAGGAAUGCUGGCACAUCUUUUCUGUGCUAAUGAUUCUCAACCUCCAUCCUAGGAUCUGGAACUCCAGACUUGCAUUUGUAUCUCCAUCCUGGACACUUUCAGUCUCAGGUUCCAUGGAAAAUUUCUCAAGGGUGUGAUCAUUUGCUUUAUGCAAUUGGCCUCAUGAUUUAGUGCAUCUAAAGAAAAUCCUUUACCUUUUUUUUUUCUUUUUGGAAGAUAGAAGCCACAUCCCUAAGCAAGGCAAGCAAGUCAAGGAACUCUUCACAUUCUGGUGUUUUCCAUUUCUUCUCGUACAGAGCUUUUAUUUAAUAACAAAAUCUUACUACCAUCUUUGAAUCUGUGGUCAAAUUUUCUACUGUGAUCUGACCCAUCUUGGACAAAUCUAGAGCACCACAGAGCCCAGGAGCAUGGAGGGGCCCUCAGACCAGGACCGAGUAUUCAUGGUAAGCCUCUUUGUGGUCUUUGAAUUCUCCCUGCUUUCUCUUUCUGAACUGCUUUUGUGUCAGAAGACUUUGUCCUUUCAGUCAGUGAUCAUAAACUGGGCUUUUCCACUUUUGAUAUCUUUCCUAUGUGAUUUGCAAAAGUUUGAGUUUUCUGUUUUUAUCCAUAGGCCAGAUUAACCUUUCAUGGGCUUUCCCCAGACCGGUUUAUUUUAUAUUCUUUUAAAGAUUUUAUUUUUAAGUAAUCUCUACACCCAACAAAGGGCUCUAAUUCACAACCCCAAGAUCAAGAGUGACACUUCCCAAUGACUGAGCCAGGCAGGCACCCCUUCCUAGACUGAAGUUUAAAAAGGAAUUCCCAGGGUGCCUGGGUGACUCAGACAGUUAAGCAUCCAACUUCAGCUCAGGUCAUGAUCUUGUGGUUUGUGAGC